rnacentral:rRNA from 1 species
GAUGAACGCUGGCGGCGUGCCUAAUACAUGCAAGUCGAGCGAACAGACGAGGAGCUUGCUCCUCUGACGUUAGCGGCGGACGGGUGAGUAACACGUGGAUAACCUACCUAUAAGACUGGGAUAACUUCGGGAAACCUGAUCUAAUACCGGAUAAUAUAUUGAACCGCAUGGUUCAAUAGUGAAAGACGGUUUUGCUGUCACUUAUAGAUGGAUCCGCGUCGCAUUAGCUAGUUGGUAAGGUAACGGCUUACCAAGGCGACGAUGCGUAGCCGACCUGAGAGGGUGAUCGGCCACACUGGAACUGAGACACGGUCCAGACUCCUACGGGAGGCAGCAGUAGGGAAUCUUCCGCAAUGGGCGAAAGCCUGACGGAGCAACGCCGCGUGAGUGAUGAAGGUCUUCGGAUCGUAAAACUCUGUUAUUAGGGAAGAACAAAUGUGUAAGUAACUAUGCACGUCUUGACGGUACCUAAUCAGAAAGCCACGGCUAACUACGUG